CUCCAGACUCCUACGGGAGGCAGCAGUGAGGAAUAUUGGUCAAUGGGCGAGAGCCUGAACCAGCCAAGUCGCGUGAGGGAGUACUGCCCUAUGGGUUGUAAACCUCUUUUGUCGGGGAGCAAAAGCCGGACGUGUCCGGCUGUGAGAGUACCCGAAGAAAAAGCAUCGGCUAACUCCGUGCCAGCAGCCGCGGUAAUACGGAGGAUGCGAGCGUUAUCCGGAUUUAUUGGGUUUAAAGGGUGCGCAGGCGGAUUUUUAAGUCAGCGGUAAAAUCGUGGGGCUCAACCCCACCCAGCCGUUGAAACUGGGGAUCUAGAGUGUGCGAGAGGUAUGCGGAAUGCGUGGUGUAGCGGUGAA
rnacentral:rRNA from 1 species